rnacentral:rRNA from 1 species
AUUGAACGCUAGCGGGAUGCCUUACACAUGCAAGUCGAACGGCAGCACGGACUUCGGUCUGGUGGCGAGUGGCGAACGGGUGAGUAAUGUAUCGGAACGUGCCCAGUAGCGGGGGAUAACUACUCGAAAGAGUAGCUAAUACCGCAUACGCCCUACGGGGGAAAGGGGGGGAUCGCAAGACCUCUCACUAUUGGAGCGGCCGAUAUCGGAUUAGCUAGUUGGUGGGGUAAAGGCCCACCAAGGCGACGAUCCGUAGCUGGUUUGAGAGGACGACCAGCCACACUGGGACUGAGACACGGCCCAGACUCCUACGGGAGGCAGCAGUGGGGAAUUUUGGACAAUGGGGGCAACCCUGAUCCAGCCAUCCCGCGUGUGCGAUGAAGGCCUUCGGGUUGUAAAGCACUUUUGGCAGGAAAGAAAUCGCAUGGGUUAAUACCCUGUGUGGAUGACGGUACCUGCAGAAUAAGCACCGGCUAACUACGUGCCAGCCGCCGCCGAAA